CCCACUCUUAUUCUCAGAUCUCUUAUUUAUAGAUAAAUUUUUUAUCUUUUUCUGGUAGCAAAAAGAGUCUUAAAACUCUUAGAAAUCGUAUAAUACCUGUAUGAAUUAAUUCUGGCCAUCGGAUCUUCGUUGGAUCGCCCAGAUCAGCCCAACAAAUGUAGAUCAAAUCUUUAUCACAGUCAAAAAUGAUGCUGGCCAUCCGAUCGUGCAUUGAAUAAAAUCUGGGCUGUUGAUCAGUGCCUUUUAUCUCUUAUUCUCAGUUAAAAAUGGUGUCAGCCGUUGGAUCGAACUCUAGAUAGAUUUCUGACUGUUGGUUCACACUCAAAUUUUUUCUUUUCAACCGAUAAUGAACAGCAGCUGUUGGAUCUCGCUCAGAAUCAAUUUGAAUCGUCGAAUCGCAAAAAACUUCUUUCGCCCACCUGUGAACC
rnacentral:lncRNA from 1 species